UGAUGGCACUCUGGGUGAGGGGGUGGGAGAAGCCUGUUGCAAAGCGCAGCACCGCCACGUAGCCCUUCCCGAAGUACCGGACCUUCUCCUCCUCCACAUUCACAUCCUGGAUGUCAUUCAGCAGGACCACCACUGUGAGGGGGGCAGAUGGCUUCCUGGAAAACCAGCCAGAAGGCGGUCCCUCCGUUGCUGGCCUCUGUGCGCUGGCCAACCACACAAACCCUGGGGGAUCCUGGGCCUGCCCACCGUAUCCCCACCCUCAGCAGCGCAGACAUGCAGGAAGGGGGUAAUCCCACUUCCUUCCCAUCCAGUCAGAACCCCAAGCAGAAAAAAGUAAGUAUAGUGGCUGAAGUUCUUCAAAUGAGAGAACAGAGGUCAGAAAGCAGCUCAAAGGACUCAUCAAGAGGACUGAGGUGAGCGGAGGGUGCUGGUCACUUUGGCAGCGGACACCCUCUGUUCCACUAUGCUACCGCGACACUCUGAGAGCCUGGGUAAAAACAGUCAUGACGAGCUUCCCAGAGAAAAACGCCUUCAGAGGAUCCUUAGGGAUGGUUGCAGACAGGUGACGGCCAGGGCCAGGGUCAGCUAACAAGAUGCCACUAAACUAAAGCGCCAGAGCAGGGGUGUCAGGCCCCGGAGCCUGCCUGCCUGCUGUUACCCUCAGCAGGGACACCGGGCAGGGAACCUAGCGCCCUUGCCUGUG